UACGUAGGUGACAAGCGUUGUCCGGAUUUACUGGGCGUAAAGAGCGCGCAGGCGGUCGAUCAAGUCGAGUGUGAAAGCCCCCGGCUCAACUGGGGAGGGUCAUUCGAUACUGAUCGACUCGAAGGCAGGAGAGGGUAGUGGAAUUCCCGGUGUAGUGGUGAAAUGCGUAGAUAUCGGGAGGAACACCAGUGGCGAAGGCGGCGAUCUGGGAAGAUACUGACGCUGAGGUGCGAAAGCGUGGGGAGCAAACAGG
rnacentral:rRNA from 1 species